ensembl:lncRNA
UACUUGCAGCUCAACCAAGAGACAAGCAAUUUUAAAGAAAGGAAAAGAACUCCCUUGCCAAGAAUCUUCAGGUCAAUGAUCAGGAAUAAUGAUAUCAGAGUAUAAAUAUUUAUCAAAGAUUAAGGCCAUCUCAUCCAUCACCGGAACUGCAGAGCAAUUGAAACCUAAAACUGAGAACACAUAUAAUGACACUUGGUUAAAUGAUUGGGCACUGCUAAACCCACAAGGAAUCAGACCAAACACUCAGUUUGAUUUAAAGACCCAGCCCAGCAGAUGUGAAAAAAUACUCGUGUAAACAAACGAGGCUUUGGCAUCAUGUACACUCUAGCUCUACUCUCUGGUAUGGCAAAGACUUUAAACAUCCAACGUGAGAGAAUAUAUUUUCAAAGUAAAAUCAAAGAGAUCAGAUUUGUGGUUGCCAGGGGCAGAGGGUGGAGGCAGUGAGGAUUGGAUGAAGGUGGUUAACAGGCACAAACGUCCAGUUAUCAUCUAAACAGGUACUAGCGAUGCAAUAGGCAACAUGAUAAGUCCAAUCAACACUAUUGUAUGUUAUAUAUGAAAGCUGUUGAGAGAGUAAAUUCUAAAGGUUCUCAUCAAAAGGAGAAAAUUUCAUUUUCUGUUUCUUUCCUGUUGUAUCUUCAUGAGAUGAUGGAUGUUCACUGCACUUACUGUGGGACUCAUUUCAUGACGUAGUUAAGUCAUUAUGCUGCACACCUGAAAAUUACACAGUGCUGUAUGUCCAUUAUAUCUCAAUUAAACUGGUAGAAAAACAUUACAUCAAAAACGUUGAAAUCUUUGAAUGACUCCUAUUCUGAAUACAUUAAGGAGGGCAUUGUCCGAAAGGAUAAGCAAUGAGUAGCCAAUACAACAGUUCUGGUAAUUGUGUUUCAAAAUGUAGACCAGGUGAGGGGUUUGUAGCUACAAGUUCAAGUACCAGCCACGGGUAGACGUGUCAGCACACGGGCAGUAUAGCGCCAGCUGUCCCCAGACACAGCCAGGGAGCCUCUGCGGGCUCUGGUUCCUCAGAGGUCACAUCGCCCCCUGAAUUUAAAGGUGCCUUAUUUUGUCUUUUACAUCCAUGAAUAUGAUUAAACUCCUGCUGUUGUGCUAAAUUUCCAAGAUUGUAAAAAGUCAGGGGAAUUUAAAAGGUCACUGCCGUAUUUCAUUUCACUAGCGAAUCUGUGGAAUAAUGUUACAGGAGGACAUAGGAAAUUUCCCACACAGGUUUUGCAAACUCUGCAAAACCUGUGUGGGAAAACUUAGGUGGGAAAGAGGAGAUCCUCUUAGGUGUGUAAGGACAAAGUGAGCCUCCUUAUGAGAAAGUCUUGGUCGAGAAAAUGAAAAUGCCAUUUUAAUAGCAAAAGGAGGCUAGAUUCUAGUCACUUAACAUGAAGAUUUGCCAGGAGCCAGUUGCAAUAUUGUUUCUUUCUGUCUGUCUGUCUUUCUGUCUUCUUGUCUUCCUGUCUUUCUUUCUGUCUUUCUAGGGCCACACCUGUGGCAUAUGGAAAUUCUUAGGCUAGGGGUUAAAUCGGAGCUGCCGCUGAGGCCUGUGUCUCAGCCGUGGCAACACUGGAUCCUUAACCCACUGAGCAAGGCCAGGGAUCCAACCUGCAUCCUCAUGGACACUAUGUGGGUUCUUAACUUGUUGAGCCACAGUGGGAACUCCCCACUGUGAGUCCCUUUCUGUAGACACCUGGAAUUGUUUAUAAAUUCUAAAAUGUUGGUUUUAUACCUUAUGGUCACAAAGUAACCGUAGAAUAUAAUGCCUCCUGUUUUAGUACAAUACCGCUAUUGUGCACAUCUAGAAAUAAAAUGUUACAUAUCAAUGUAAACUUAAGAAAG